UACGAAGGGGGCUAGCGUUGUUCGGAAUUACUGGGCGUAAAGCGUGCGCAGGCGGCUGCUCAAGUCAGGGGUGAAAGCCCAGAGCUCAACUCUGGAAUUGCCUUUGAGACUGAGUGGCUUGAGUACGGGAGAGGUGAGUGGAAUUCCCAGUGUAGAGGUGAAAUUCGUAGAAUAUUGGGAAGAACACCGGUGGCGAAGGCGGCUCACUGGCCCGUAACUGACGCUCAUGCACGACAGCGUGGGGAUCAAACAGG
rnacentral:rRNA from 1 species